rnacentral:rRNA from 1 species
GUCUACGGCCAAGCCACCCUAAACGUGCCCAAUCUUGUCUGAUCUCAGAAGCUAAGCAGGGUCAGGCCUGGUUAGUACUUGGAUGGGAGACCACCUGGGAAUACCAGGGGCUGAAGGCA